GCCCCAGUGGCCCAAUUGGCAGAGGCAUCAGACUUAAAAUCUGAGAGUUGUGGGUUCGAGUCCCACCUGGGGCA
rnacentral:tRNA from 1 species